rnacentral:rRNA from 1 species
ACGCACGCUGGCGGCGUGCUUAACCCCUGCAAGUCGCACGGAAAGGCCCUGCUUUUGUGGGGUGCUCGAGUGGCGAACGGGUGAGUAACACGUGAGUAACCUGCCCUUGACUUUGGGAUAACUUCAGGAAACUGGGGCUAAUACCGGAUAGGAGCUCCUGCUGCAUGGUGGGGGUUGGAAAGUUUCGGCGGUUGGGGAUGGACUCGCGGCUUAUCAGCUUGUUGGUGGGGUAGUGGCUUACCAAGGCUUUGACGGGUAGCCGGCCUGAGAGGGUGACCGGCCACAUUGGGACUGAGAUACGGCCCAGACUCCUACGGGAGGCAGCAGUGGGGAAUAUUGCACAAUGGGCGGAAGCCGGAUGCAGCAACGCCGCGUGCGGGAUGACGGCCUUCGGGUUGUAAACCGCUUUCGCCUGUGACGAAGCGUGAGUGACGGUAAUGGGUAAAGAAGCACCGGCUAACUACGG